rnacentral:rRNA from 1 species
AGGACGAACGCUGGCGGCGUGCCUCAUACAUGCAAGUGGAGCGACGAACCAGGAUUUAUCCUGGGGCAAAGCCGCGAACGGGUGAGUAACACGUGGGUUACCUGCCCCGAUGAUUGGGACAACCCGAGGAAACUCGGGCUAAUACCAAAUGUGUUCUUGGUCGUGAUGACCAAGAAGAAAGGAAGCCUCGGCCUCCGCAUCGGGAUGGGCCCGCGGCCCAUUAGCUAGUUGGUGGGGUAAUGGCCUACCAAGGCGACGAUGGGUAGCUGGUCUGAGAGGACGACCAGCCACACUGGGACUGAGACACGGCCCAGACUCCUACGGGAGGCAGCAGUGGGGAAUCUUGCGCAAUGGGCGAAAGCCUGACGCAGCAACGCCGCGUGAGGGAUGAAGGUCUUCGGGUUGUAAACUCCUUUCGAUAGGGAAGAUAAUGACGGUACCUAUAGAAGAAGCCCCGGCUAACUUCGUGCCAGCAGCCGC